GAUGAACGCUGCCAGAAUGCUUAACACAUGCAAGUCCACUUGAAUUUGGGUUUUUACCUUAGGUUUGGGUGGCGGACGGGUGAGUAACGCGUAAAGAACUUGCCUCACAGCUAGGGACAACAUUUGGAAACGAAUGCUAAUACCUAAUAUUAUGAUAAUAGGGCAUCCUAUAAUUAUGAAAGCUAUAAGCGCUGUGAGAGAGCUUUGCGUCCCAUUAGCUAGUUGGAGAGGUAACGGCUCACCAAGGCGAUGAUGGGUAGCCGGCCUGAGAGGGUGAUCGGCCACAAGGGGACUGAGACACGGCCCUUACUCCUACGGGAGGCAGCAGUGGGGAAUAUUGGACAAUGGACCGAGAGUCUGAUCCAGCAAUUCUGUGUGCACGAUGAAGUUUUUCGGAAUGUAAAGUGCUUUCAGUUGGGAAGAAACAAAUGACGGUACCAACAGAAGAAGUGACGGCUAAAUACGUG
rnacentral:rRNA from 1 species